rnacentral:tRNA from 1 species
AAUUUUAUUAGUAUAUUUAUUAUAUUUAGCUUCCAACUAAAAGAUCUAAGGAUAAAAU